CGUGAUUAUGGUUCUCUUCUUUUUAUCAGUGAGUACAUGUAAUGUACCGGAUUUUUAGUAUAAAAGUAAGUGUAAAUAAAAAUAGUAUAAGAUACUAUUUUUAUUAGGUUUAAAGAAGUAAAAUAUAAGUCGGAAACGACUUGUGCUGAGAUCGGAAUGAAAACAGAAGAUUUAGAAUUUUCUGUAAGAAACGGGGCUGAUCUUUUAACAGAAAAUUCAUAGUGUCAAAAAAUUAUGAAAAUCUGAGAAUAUGUCGAGAUUAUUUUUAUAAGGGUAGAUUUAAAGUUUCAUGUCAUUCUGACACCCGAAAAGUGAAAAAUAAAAUCCGACUGCUAUCUGCUAGAGAUUUUAGUCGGUAGAACUUUCGGUGACCAAAAUGGUCCAAACUGAAAAGUUAAGAUAUUUUU
rnacentral:lncRNA from 1 species